rnacentral:misc_RNA from 1 species
GAUGAAGAACGUAGCGAAAUGCGAUACGUAGUGUGAAUUGCAGAAUUCAGUGAAUCAUCGAAUCUUUGAACGCACAUUGCGCCCUUUGGUAUUCCUUAGGGCAUGCCUGUUCGAGCGUCAUUUAAACCUUCAAGCUAAGCUUGGUGUUGGGUGACUGUCCGCUUCACUGCGGACUCGCCUCAAAAUUAUUGGCGGCCGGUACAUUGGCUUCGAGCGCAGCAGAAACGCGAACUCGGGCCCGUCGUAUUGGCUCCCAGAAGCUAUCUUCACAAUUUUGACCUCGGAUCAGGUAGGGAUACCCGCUGAACUUAAGCAUAUCAAUAAGCGGAGGA